rnacentral:rRNA from 1 species
CCCUCGGGUCCGAGUUGUAAUUUGUAGAGGAUGCUUUUGGUGAGGUGCCUUCCGAGUUCCCUGGAACGGGACGCCAUAGAGGGUGAGAGCCCCGUCUGGUCGGACACCGAUCCUCUGUAAAGCUCCUUCGACGAGUCGAGUAGUUUGGGAAUGCUGCUCUAAAUGGGAGGUAUAUGUCUUCUAAAGCUAAAUAUUGGCCAGAGACCGAUAGCGCACAAGUAGAGUGAUCGAAAGAUGAAAAGCACUUUGAAAAGAGGGUUAAACAGUACGUGAAAUUGUUGAAAGGGAAGCGCUUGUGACCAGACUUGGGCCCGGUUAAUCAUCCAGUGUUCUCACUGGUGCACUUGGCCGGCCCAGGCCAGCAUCAGUUCGGCGCGGGGGAUAAAGGCGUCGGGAAUGUGGCUCCUCCGGGAGUGUUAUAGCCCGUCGUGCAAUACCCUGCGCUGGACUGAGGUUCGCGCAUCUGCAAGGAU